ACGGGGGGGGCAAGCGUUGUUCGGAAUUACUGGGCGUAAAGGGCGUGUAGGCGGCCUAGCAAGUCAGCUGUGAAAGCCCCAGGCUCAACCUGGGAAUUGCAUCUGAAACUGCUGGGCUAGAGUUCAGGAGAGGAGGGCGGAACUCCCAGUGUAGCGGUGAAAUGCGUAGAUAUUGGGAGGAACACCGGUGGCGAAGGCGGCUCUCUGGACUGAAACUGACGCUGAGGCGCGAAAGCCAGGGGAGCGAACG
rnacentral:rRNA from 1 species